rnacentral:rRNA from 1 species
CACUCCUUCCCAUUCCGAACAGGAAAGUUAAGCUCUAUAGCGCCGAUGGUACUGCAUGGGAGACCGUGUGGGAGAGUAGGACGUUGCCAGGU